GAGGGGUGAAGUGGAGUACAUUGGGAAAGGCCUUUGUUUAUCCUACCUACAGUAUCCUACCUAUAGUAAUGGAUGGAUGGGAUUGAGUACACUAACAACAAAGAGAGAGAGAGAGGGGUGAAGUACAUUGGGAAAGGGCUGUGUUUAUCGUACCUAUAGUAAUGGAUGGAUGGGAUAGAGUACACUUAACAUCAACAAAGAGAGAGAGAGAUGGGUGCAGUGAAGUACAUUGGGAAAGGAAAGGGCUGUGUUUAUCCUACCUAUAGUAAUGAGUCCCGCUGAUGCUGUUGAUGCUGAUAAACUUCCACGAUUGAUGCACCCACCUUCAUAUAGUCCGGCAGAUCGUGAGCCAUAAAUAUCCCUUUAUUGUAGCGCGCCAACAAACUGCUGUUACUGUUUCUGCUGCAUUUUGGAUGUAAUGGAUGAAAACAGCGUGAUUAAUGGUCGUUGAAAGCCAUUGUAGGCUGAGUAAUGGGAGCUGUGUGGCCUGCGUGAGUGAGUGAGUGUGAGUGAGUGAGUGAGGGAGGUUGUGAGUCGGAGAGUGAGUGAGUGAGUGAGUGAGUUACUGGAUGUACUGAAAAUGGGAGUUGUGUGACCUUUGAGAGUGAGUGAAUGAGUGAGUGAGUAAGUAAUUUGAUGCACUCUGAUAUAUAAUGGAAGUUGUAUGACCUGAGUGAGUGAGUGAGUGACCUGUGUGUGUGUGUGUAUGUGUGUGUGUGUGUGUAUGAUAUAAGUUGAGUACAGAAAAAGAAAUAUAAAUGUGGACUGGAUUGGCUAGGUAACGAAAAAAAAAAAAAAGGUUAGAGAGAAGUAGUGAGUGAAAUGUCAAUCACUUACCUGUGUUUUAAUUGCUUUUCUAGAGAGAGAGAGAGAGAGAGAGAGAGAGAGAGAGAGAGAGAGAGAGAGAGA